AACCCAUGGUGAGGGCACCAUCACAAUAAAUCCUUAUACUUCUCUCAUGCAUCAUAUAGGGUCUCUCAGUCGAUCUGAUUGAAGGAAGAGAUAUCAUUUAUCAACUU
rfam:Gossypium raimondii chromosome 2, whole genome shotgun sequence.